GAGACACUAGUAAAAUGGUACAUUACACAACCUUGUCGAGGUUGAAUUGCGGGUUAGAACCCGGCGUGUCUCU
rnacentral:tRNA from 1 species